rnacentral:rRNA from 1 species
GAUGAACGCUGGCGGCGUGCCUAAUACAUGCAAGUAGAACGCUGAAGGAGGAGCUUGCUCUUCUGGAAGAGUUGCGAACGGGUGAGUAACGCGUAGGUAACCUGCCUCUUAGCGGGGGAUAACUAUUGGAAACGAUAGCUAAUACCGCAUAAAAGUCGACAUUGCAUGAUGUUGACUUGAAAGGUGCAACUGCAUCACUAAGAGAUGGACCUGCGUUGUAUUAGCUAGUUGGUGAGGUAACGGCUCACCAAGGCGACGAUACAUAGCCGACCUGAGAGGGUGAUCGGCCACACUGGGACUGAGACACGGCCCAGACUCCUACGGGAGGCAGCAGUAGGGAAUCUUCGGCAAUGGGGGCAACCCUGACCGAGCAACGCCGCGUGAGUGAAGAAGGUUUUCGGAUCGUAAAGCUCUGUUGUAAGAGAAGAACGAGUGUGAGAGUGGAAAGUUCACGCUGUGACGGUAUCUUACCAGAAAGGGACGGCUAACUACGUGCCAGCAGCCGCGGUAAUACGUAGGUCCCGAGCGUUAUCCGGAUUUAUUGGGCGUAAAGCGAGCGCAGGCGGUUAGAUAAGUCUGAAGUUAAAGGCUGUGGCUUAACCAUAGUACGCUUUGGAAACUGUUUAACUUGAGUGCAGAAGGGGAGAGUGGAAUUCCAUGUGUAGCGGUGAAAUGCGUAGAUAUAUGGAGGAACACCGGUGGCGAAAGCGGCUCUCUGGUCUGUAAAUUGACGCUGAGGCUCGAAAGCGUGGGGGAGCAAACAGG